rnacentral:lncRNA from 1 species
AUGAAAAAAAACAUUGUCUGCAGAGAAAGGACUACGGCUGAAAGGACUUUAACAUCCAUUCAUUCAAAGAAGAAACGUGUGGUUUCAGACCACAAAAUGGAAAAUGUGACCCAGCUAGAGCCAAAGACUAGAAGACAAAAGAAUAACUCUGCCUUUGCUUCUCUGAAGGCUCAGCAAGAAGCCCCCAAAUUUCCCACACCACAGUGAGGGGACUGAAAAAAAACACUGAAGCAAGACUGGCUCUUCAUUUGCAGCAAGUGCCAGAAGAAAGAGGUAAAAGUUUUACCUUUCCUUUGAACACCAAACUGUAUUCUCCAUUGGUGCCAACUGUGAUCCUAUUGUUGGCCCAUGUCAAUGGAGUUGCAAUGAUUUUGCAAAGGGAUGGAGAUGGACAGAAAGACUGUGCAGUCUAGGGCUCCAAUGUGAGCAUGUGGGGCAGAGAAAAGAGAGUCUGUUUUAAAGGUGGGCUAACCAAAAUCACAUCCAAUAUGCAUUCGCAAAAGCCAAGCCAGUCCUUGCCCAUCUUGAAGCGCCGGAAAGCAUGGGCUCACCAAAAAGAUAAGUGCCUCAUGGAGCUUUUGUUUGUUUUCAAAGGUCUCUAAUUUGAGCAUUUUAGAACACUGAGAAAUGUAAGCUGUUUAGUGAGAUUAAGGAAUCCCUUUUUGAAACUUGUGUUGCUUUCAGUCCUGCUGCACUGCCUUUGAAGGGUUUGAGCACCAGCUCUUUACAGCCAGAGUCUGAGCUCCCAGGGAAUGUGGGUAUUUAACUGGGAGGGCUCAGAUGUCUCAGAUACUUGUUUUAGGAAACAGAGUUGGUGGGCAAGAGGGCCCACAUCCCCAACAUGGGUGUCACACAAGAAGUAUGAGUCUGGGAAUGUGCACUUACCACCCUGGGUUAUAAACCAUGAGGACAUUCUAUUCAGCUCCCUUUGACUAGAAUAUUUGUGAGACUCAGUGACCAGAUCUACUCACAGCAGAGAGGUGACCGUGCAGUGCAGUACGGGUCUACCACGUAGCACACACUAACAGUAGAAGGGAUGAAUACUCCCUAUAUACUUUCUGCACAUCAGAGUGCUUUAAUCUAAUACAAGUUGAAUGCUCAGAACAGGGGGAACUGAGUGAAGUUCUGUGGCUUUGUGUUAUGAGCAGCAUAGGACCAUGUGGCAGUAUUCCACCCUGAAGAAAUCUCAGCUAUGAAAUAUUGGCUGUUCAGGCAAUUCUCAGUCCUGUUGUAUGUGAGGUCUUGCUGCUUCACAUAUCAUAGAAUCAGAAAAUAACUUAGGUGGAAAGGGACCUUUGGAGGUCUUUAGUCCAACCUUCUGCUAACAGCAGGGCUAACUCCAAAGUUAGAUGAAGUUUCUCGGGGCCAGGUAAGUCCUAAAAUCUCCAAUGAAGAGAUUUCCCAGCCUCUCUAGGCACCUCUUCCAGUACUGAAGCACCGCCAUGGGGAUCCUUUUUUCGUUAUAUCUGGCUCUUGCUGCAGCCUAUGUCUGUUGCCUCUCAUCAUUUCAACUUAGACCUUUGAGAAGGAUCUGACUCUGUCAUAACCUUCCCUUAGACAGUCAAAGACAGCAAUCAGGUCCUUUACAACCUUCUCUCCUCCCAGCUGAACAAGCUUAGCUUCCUCAGAGUCUUGUUCAACUACUUGUCUACCAGGAGCAAUGGGGCCCUUUUCUGCAAAGCUGCUUUCUAGACAGUCAGAGCCCAACCUGCACCACUGAAAGGGGAUUUUGCAACAAGUGCAAAACUUUGCAUUUCUCACUGUGGAACUCCAUGAGGUUUUUGCCAACCCAUUCCUCCAGCUUAUCAAGAUCCCUCUGAAAGGCAGUUCUGCCCUUCAGCAUAUCCACCCCUCCUCCAGGUUUGAUGUUGUCUGUGAACUUGAUAAGGAGUCUUCCACGACCACCUUCAGGUUAUUUAUGAAGAUAUGAAAUGGUAUUUGUCCCAGUAUUGACCCCUGAGCGAUGCCACUCAUAACUGGCUUCCUAUCAGACUUUGAACUGUUGACCACUACACUUAAAGCCCACCAAUGCAGCUUGUUUUUCACUCACCUUGUAGUCUAGCCAUCUAGUCCAUACCUCCCCAUUUUGGCCACAAGGGUACUAUGGGCCAAUGUUCUAAUAAUCCAACACUUGUUUUGUUGGGGGAAAGACACACAUGCACCUAGUCAUCAGCCAUCAAAAAGUUUUUCCUGUAUCUCAUUUGGCCACAUCAUCUCUGCUGGCAAUAGAUCAGCUGGAUUAAAGCUCUCUGGAAAGUGCUAGAGUGAGAUACAGGGCCAGCACUUGCACAUGGUAGUAAAACCAUCAGGGAGUUUAUGGCAAGUGGCCAGAAGAACUGCAAGCUGUGCUAUGCCAGUCACAGAUGGGAAGUGGAAAUUUGUGACAUUUUGUACUUCAACCCAAAAUCUGAACAGAUUUUCAUGAGACCAGGGAGAAAAGUUGUUCUCUCUCUCACCCUGACUUGUGUGCCCUGGCAAAUUUCAUAGUCUUGCUGCAACACCAGAAGUGUUCAAAGAAAAAAAAGUCACAAAAGGUUGGAGGAGGAGCUUUUUUUUAAGGAAUGUGUUAGGCAGCCAAGAUUUAGGAGUGCUAACUUGUCUGUAAAAUCAAAGGAACCAGAAUCCAUGAUUUUCAACCAGGUUCCGUUGAUUCUUUCAACCAGCUAACCCUAGCCCAAAGAAAACUGGUGUGCUGGUAAAUCCUAACAUACAUGUUCUUGAAGGGUCUGACAUACUCAGCCAAGGAUCCAAGAGAAAAAAUGAAGGAGAUGGACACUGAAUUUCUAACCCUUUAUGGAAUGGUUGGGAAAAGAAGUGUGCACUGUUAAAACUAUUCUUUUCCCAAGCCCUUUUUCAGAAAGCAAGGAUGCUAUUUCUGUAAGAACUUAAAAGGAAAUACAUGUCUGAGACAGAGAGCAAGAAUGGAAAAUUUCAAUCCAAACAGUGAAUGUUUGGCAGUCAGGAGCCGACAGGGUUUUGUAAUACACUGUAAGAGAGGGGCUGUCCUGUUGGCUCUACCAACAAUCACAUUUCCAGCGAAAAAAAAUGUGAGCGUUGGAAUGUUUUUUCUUUUGCAGAAAAUGCUCCAAAAGACUGUUAUGGUGGAGAAAUAGCAGUUAUUUUGUCAGACAGAGUACAGUAUGUUCCUUAAAAUGUUUCUCCCUACCUUCUCUGCCUUUCCCUGUCCCAAGCCUGGAUAAACUCUCUAGCCACAACUUUUUCUUCCUCCUGCUACACUGAGCCUUCCCGACUCCAGCCCACUUCCUUCUGCCUCUAUUUUGCCAAGAUCAGUCUUGCCAGCAGCGUGAAGAGGGAAAUAAAUGGGCUUAGCUUGUAUUUUCUACA